rfam:Picea glauca, whole genome shotgun sequence.
AUAAUGUUCGAAGAUAUAUGAUAAAAUUAGAAUGAUAUGAUAGAAUAUUAGCAUGGCUCGUAUGCAAGGAUGAAAUAUACAAAUCAAGAAAUGAUCCAAAUUUUU